GGUAACCCCCUUGGAUCCCCUUCCACACUGUGGGAGGUUUGUUCUUUUGCUCUUUGCAAUAAAGCUUGCUGCUGCUCACUCUUUGGGUCCAGACUGUCUUUAUGAGCUAUAACACUCACCGGGAAGGUCUGCAGCUUCACUCCUGAAGCCAAGGAGACCACGAACCCACCGGGAGGAAGGAACAACUACAGACACGCCGGCUUAAGAGCUGUAGCACUCACUGCGAAGGUCCGCAGCUUCACUCUUGAGCCAGAGACCACGAACCCACCAGAAGGAAGAAACUCCAAACACAUCCGAACAUCAGAAGGAAAAAACUCCAGACACGCCGCCUUUAAGAACUGCAACACUGCGAGGGUCCGCGGCUUCAUUCUUGAAGUCAGUGAGACCAAGAACCCACCAAUUCCAGACACACUACCAAAGGCAGAGGGGAGCUCCUAGACAAAGAUAUUUUGCUUACAAAUGGAACAUAUCAAAUCAAGCUUUUGUGAACUUGAGGGAAGAAACAAAGAAUAUGAAGCCUAAAUGGAAGUGUCAGGAAAUGGUCGCCUUGCGGACAAGGAAACAGCAGCCUGGAAGGCCAGGAGAGGGCAGACUACCCACCUAACCCUCUGCAGAAUUUUGUGUGGACCCUGGAGACCAGAAACUAACUUCUCCUGCAGAGACAAGGUCUUGCUCUGUCACCCUGGCUGGUCUUGAACUCCUGGCUUCAAGCAAUUCAUCCAUCUCAGCCUCCUGAGUAGCUGGGAUUACAGAAAAAACAGUGAAGCAUAGACAGUUUUUGCAAGAGGCCCAAGAUCAUACAUCAAAUAUGUGCACAGCCAGGACCUGAACCAGUUGAUAUCUACAAAUGCCUGGCUUUUGCCACUGGGCUCCUUCAGGCUGGAGUGUAGUGGUACGAUCUUGGCUUACUGCAACCUCCACCUCCUGGGUUCAAGCGGCCCUGUCAUCUCAGCCUCCUGAGUAGCUGGGGUUACAGAGCUCCUUUCUGACAACUUGCAAUUGAUCCAACAUUUGAAACCUUAUGCAGGAGCCGGACAGCUUGGUUUUGAAUUAUAAUCUUACAAAUUACUGGCUGUGUGUUAAAUCUUUAAAUUACUGGCUGUGUGACUUUGUGUAAGUACCUUCACUUCUCUGUGCCUUAGUUUAUGUUAUGUAAAAGGUAUGAUAAUAGUAUCUAUCUUGGAAUUUAGUUUUUAAAUAUAAAAUUUAUAUAUCUACAACAGCUGAAUAAGUGUUAUCUAUCUUUAUUACCAUUGCAAUUAUUAUUAUAAUUAUUUGUAUAUGUCGGGCUCAUAAAGCUCUUAGCUUUGCAAAACUGUCUGAGAAAGUUUGCUUUUCUUUGCAUUCAUUGGGAAAUUAACUUUUCUACACAAUAAUGUUUUUAAGGCAUGGACCUGUAAAAUGUUUAAUUGGUGUGGCUUCAAAGUAUAGAAAUUGUAAAGUAGGAAAUAAUUAUACACAACUAUCAAACCAAUAAUAAAGGUCAAUAAAUAUUCAAACAGUAUUAAUAUAA
rnacentral:lncRNA from 1 species